rnacentral:rRNA from 1 species
AUUGAACGCUGGCGGCAGGCCUAACACAUGCAAGUCGAACGAGUGGCGGACGGGUGAGUAAUGUCUGGGAAACUGCCCGCUGGAGGGGGAUAACUAAUGGAAACGGUAGCUAAUACCGCAUACCCUCGGAUGUGCCCAGAUGGGAUUAGCUAGUCGGUGGGGUAACGGCUCACCUAGGCGACGAUCCCUAGCUUGUCUGAGAGGAUGACCCGCCACACGUGAACUGAGACACGGGCCAGACUCCUACGGGAUGCAGCAGUGGGGAAUAUUGCACAAUGGGCGCAAGCCUGAUGCAGCCAUGCCGUGUGUAUGAAGAAGGCCUUCGGGUUGUAAAGUACGUUCAGCGAGGAGGCGUUACUCGCAGAAGAAGCACCGGCUAACUCCGUGCCAGCAGCCGCGGUAAUUC